rnacentral:rRNA from 1 species
UACAGAGGAGCCAAGCGUUGUCCGGAUUGACUGGGCGUAAAGCGCACGCAGGCGGUGGCGCGCGUGGGGUGUGAAAUCUGGCCGCUUAACGGCCAGGCGCCAUCCCAUACGGCGCGACUGGAGGGCUGCAGAGGUCGAUGGAAUUGCCGGUGUAGUGGUGAAAUGCGUAGAGAUCGGCAGGAACACCCAGGGGGAAACCAGUCGA